AACCUUACCAGGUCUUGACAUCCUUUGACCAUCCUAGAGAUAGGACUUUCCCUUCGGGGACAAAGUGACAGGUGGUGCAUGGUUGUCGUCAGCUCGUGUCGUGAGAUGUUGGGUUAAGUCCCGCAACGAGCGCAACCCUUAUUGUUAGUUGCCAUCAUUCAGUUGGGCACUCUAGCGAGACUGCCGCAGACAAUGCGGAGGAAGGUGGGGAUGACGUCAAAUCAUCAUGCCCCUUAUGACCUGGGCUACACACGUGCUACAAUGGAGAGUACAACGAGUUGCGAAGUCGUGAGGCUAAGCUAAUCUCUUAAAGCUCUUCUCAGUUCGGAUUGUAGGCUGCAACUCGCCUACAUGAAGCCGGAAUCGCUAGUAAUCGCGGAUCAGCACGCCGCGGUGAAUACGUUCCCGGGC
rnacentral:rRNA from 1 species